rnacentral:lncRNA from 1 species
ACACGGAUGUCGGGGGAUGCCUAACACCUUCCCUCCGCAUAAUCAAGCCCCCGGACCCAAAAUGAAUCUCGGUUUCAUAGAUCCGUCUAGCAGUGUCAAAACACUGGGUUAAUAUGCAAACCUUUUCGGUUGCGUUGGUGCAACCAGUUAAAUACACUAACUGGCGACUCUUAAAGUCCAAUCGUCGACAUUAUACAUGUCGAACCUUUUUCUCUUAUUUUUUCAAACAAAUCUCACAUUAACAUGAGAACACCAAAGAACAAGUAACGAAAAGGGACACUCUAAAAUCCCGACGUCGACAGGUG